rfam:Populus trichocarpa scaffold_9_contig_105, whole genome shotgun sequence.
GAAAGAAGAGGCUGUCAGCAUAGCCAAGAUGACUGCCCAGAACCAAAGAAAAGUUCUACACUACCAUAUGCUUGAAAAACUCUUUCAAUGGAGUGGGCAAGUCAUCCUUGGCUACCAAACACGACUCUUAUCU